GGUGGCUCUAGCGGCGUGGCCCCACCCGUACCCAUCUCGAACACGGAAGUGAAACGCGCCAGCGCCGACGAUACUUGAGUGGUGACGCUCCGGGAAAAUAGGUCGCCGCC
rnacentral:rRNA from 1 species